GGAUCGCAGGCUGCAACCCGCCUGCGUGAAGUUGGAAUCGCUAGUAAUCGCGGAUCAGCAUGCCGCGGUGAAUACGUUCCCGGGCCUUGUACACACCGCCCGUCACACCAUGAGAGUCGGGAACACCCGAAGUCCGUAGCCUAACUUUAACGAGGGGCGCGGCCGAAGGUGGGUUCGAUAAUUGGGUGAAGUCGUAACAAGGUAAC
rnacentral:rRNA from 1 species